rnacentral:rRNA from 1 species
UACGUAGGGCGCAAGCGUUGUCCGGAAUUAUUGGGCGUAAAGAGCUCGUAGGCGGUUUGUCGCGUCUGCUGUGAAAACCAGAGGCUCAACCUCUGGCCUGCAUCCGAAACUGCAUCGCUUGAGGUAGGUAGGGGAGAUCGGAAUUCCUGGUGUAGCGGUGGAAUGCGCAGAUAUCAGGAGGAACACCGGUGGCGAAGGCGGAUCUCUGGGCCUUACCUGACGCUGAGGUGCGAAAGCUAGGGGAGCGAACAGG